CCCUAGCCCUGAUGGAAACGGCAUCCUUUUGUGUCUCGUUUUUCUACGAGGCACAAAAGAUAUAGUGGACAGCAGGAAACAGC
rnacentral:sRNA from 1 species